rnacentral:rRNA from 1 species
GAUGAACGCUGGCGGCGUGCCUAAUACAUGCAAGUCGAGCGAACAGACGAGGCUCUUGCUCCUCUGACGUUUGCGGCGGACGUGUGAGUAACACGUGUAUAACCUCCCUAUCUGACUGGGAUAACUUCGGGAAUCCGGCGCUAAUACCGUAUAACAUCCUGAUCCGCAUUGUUCAACAGUGAAAUACGGUUUUUCUGUCACUUCUCGCUGCUUCCGCGUUGCAUUAGCUAGUUGUUACGGUAACGGCUUACCAAGGCAACCAUGCGUAGCCGACCUGAGAGGGUGAUCGGCCACACUGGAACUGAGACACGGUCAAGACGCCUACGGGAGGCAGCAGUAGGGAAUCUUACGCAAUGGGCGAAAGCCUGACGGAGCAACGCCGCGUGAGUGAAGAAGGUCUUCGGAUCGGAAAACUCUGUUAUUAGGGAAGAACAAAUGUGGAAGUAAAUAUGCACGUAUUGACGGUACCGAAUCAGAAAGCCACGGCUAACUACGUG